rnacentral:pre_miRNA from 2 species
GAACGGCUUCAUACAGGAGUUGAUGCACAGUUAUCCAGCUCCUAUAUGAUGCCUUUCUUC